rnacentral:rRNA from 1 species
GACGAACGCUGGCGGCGUGCUUAACACAUGCAAGUCGAACGGAAAGGCCCUGCUUUUGUGGGGUGCUCGAGUGGCGAACGGGUGAGUAACACGUGAGUAACCUGCCCUUGACUUUGGGAUAACUUCAGGAAACUGGGGCUAAUACCGGAUAGGAGCUCCUGCUGCAUGGUGGGGGUUGGAAAGUUUCGGCGGUUGGGGAUGGACUCGCGGCUUAUCAGCUUGUUGGUGGGGUAGUGGCUUACCAAGGCUUUGACGGGUAGCCGGCCUGAGAGGGUGACCGGCCACAUUGGGACUGAGGUACGGCCCAGACUCCAACGGGAGGCAGCAGUGGGGAAUAUUGCACAAUGGGCGGAAGCCUGAUGCGGCAACGCCGCGUGCGGGAUGACGGCCUUCGGGUUGUAAACCGCUUUCGCCUGUGACGAAGCGUGAGUGACGGUAAUGGGUAAAGAAGCACCGGCUAACUACGUG